rnacentral:rRNA from 1 species
CUGCAACCCGCCUGCAUGAAGCCGGAAUUGCUAGUAAUCGCGGAUCAGCAUGCCGCGGUGAAUACGUUCCCGGGCCUUGUACACACCGCCCGUCACACCAUGGGAGUCGGUAACACCCGAAGCCAGUAGCCCAACCGCAAGGAGGACGCUGUCGAAGGUGGGAUUGAUAACUGGGGUGAAGUCGUAACAAGGUAAC